GACGAACGCUGGCGGCGUGCUUAACACAUGCAAGUCGAACGGUGAAGGUGGAGCUUGCUCCGCCGGAUCAGUGGCGAACGGGUGAGUAACACGUGGGCAACCUGCCCCUAACUUUGGGAUAACUACUCGAAAGAGUAGCUAAUACCGGAUAUGAAGUCUGUAGGCAUCUAUGGAUUUGGAAAGUUUUUCGGUUAGGGAUGGGCCCGCGGCCUAUCAGCUUGUUGGGGAGGUAGUGGCUCACCAAGGCGACGACGGGUAGCCGGCCUGAGAGGGCGACCGGCAACACGGGGACUGGGACACGGCCCAGACUCCUACGGGAGGCAGCAGUGGGGAAUAUUGCGCAAUGGGCGAAAGCCGGACGCAGCAACGCCGCGUGCGGGAUGAAGGCCUUCGGGUUGUAAACCGCUUUCAGCAGGGAAGAAGCGAAAGUGACGGUACCUGCAGAAGAAGCACCGGCUAACUACGUGCCAGCCGCCGCCGUAA
rnacentral:rRNA from 1 species